CUUCAGUGAUGAUACGAUGACGAGUCGGAAGAGGACACGGUCUGGUUCUGUGGGUUACUGGACCAGGUCCACGUUCUGUGGUUCUGGUGUGGUUCCUCAGGCCGGGGUGUCCUUUUCAGUUGAAGACAUAGAGGCAUUUGUCUGAGAAGG